rnacentral:rRNA from 1 species
AACCCUUGUCCUUAGUUACCAGCACGUUAUGGUGGGCACUCUAAGGAGACUGCCGGUGACAAACCGGAGGAAGGUGGGGAUGACGUCAAGUCAUCAUGGCCCUUACGGCCUGGGCUACACACGUGCUACAAUGGUCGGUACAAAGGGUUGCCAAGCCGCGAGGUGGAGCUAAAUCCCAUAAAACCGAUCGUAGUCCGGAUCGCAGUCUGCAACUCGACUGCGUGAAGUCGGAAUCGCUAGUAAUCGUGAAUCAGAAUGUCACGGUGAAUACGUUCCCGGGCCUU